GGGUCGCUAGCUCAAUCGGCAGAGCAACAGCCUUUUAAGCUGCUGGUUCCGGGUUCGAUUCCCGGGCGACCCACCA
rnacentral:tRNA from 6 species